rnacentral:rRNA from 1 species
CGCACGGGUGAAUAACACGUAUCCAACCUGCCGUCUACUCUUGGACAGCCUUCUGAAAGGAAGAUUAAUACAAGAUGGCAUCAUGAGUCCGCAUGUUCACAUGAUUAAAGGUAUUCCGGUAGACGAUGGGGAUGCGUUCCAUUAGAUAGUAGGCGGGGUAACGGCCCACCUAGUCUUCGAUGGAUAGGGGUUCUGAGAGGAAGGUCCCCCACAUUGGAACUGAGACACGGUCCAA